UGGAUUGAAAACCCAAAAGGGCGGUCCACGCAAAAGAGGGAAUAAGCGAAUGACUGCAAUCUGAGUUCAUCCGUGUUAUAUCACCGUUUCAUUCAAUCCGGCAAUCUUCAGGCGGUCCACGCAAAAGAGGGAAUAAGCGAAUGACUGCAAUCUGAGUUCAUCCGUGUUAUAUCACCGUUUCAUUCAAUCCGGCAAUCUUCGAAGGUUAAAGAUCGACUAAUCAUCCACUUCAGAAAG
rnacentral:lncRNA from 1 species